UGCGGGGUGGAGCAGCUCGGUAGCUCGUCAGGCUCAUAACCUGAAGAUCGUUGGUUCAAAUCCAGCCCCCGCUACCA
rnacentral:tRNA from 1 species